AGCAGCCGCGGUAAUUCCAGCUCCAAUAGCGUAUAUUAAAGUUGUUGCAGUUAAAAAGCUCGUAGUUGAAUUUCGGGAUCAGCAGGUCGGUCGUGCCAAUGGUAUGCACUGGCCUUGCUGAUUCCUCCCUCUUGAUGAGCCGUAAUGCCAUUAAUUUGGUGUUGCGGGGAAUCAGGACUGUUACUUUGAAAAAAUUAGAGUGUUUAAAGCAGGCAAGCGCUUGAAUACAUUAGCAUGGAAUAAUGAAAUAGGACGUUUGAUCCUAUUUUGUUGGUUUCUAGGAUUGACGUAAUGAUUAAUAGGGAUAGUUGGGGGCAUUAGUAUUCAAUUGUCAGAGGUGAAAUUCUUGGAUUUAUUGAAGCUAACUACUGCGAAAGCAUUUGCCAAGGAUGUUUUCAUUAAUCAAGAACGAAAGUUAGGGGAUCGAAGACGAUCAGAUACCGUCGUAGUCUUAACCAUAAACUAUGCCGACUAGGGAUCGGAUGAUGUUUAAGUUUUUUAUGUA
rnacentral:rRNA from 1 species